rnacentral:rRNA from 1 species
UACGAAGGGGGCUAGCGUUGCUCGGAAUUACUGGGCGUAAAGGGCGCGUAGGCGGUUUUGUAAGUCUGUCGUGAAAGCCCCGGGCUCAACCUGGGAAUUGCGAUGGAGACUGCAAGGCUUGAAUCUGGCAGAGGGGGGUAGAAUUCCACGUGUAGCAGUGAAAUGCGUAGAGAUGUGGAGGAACACCGAUGGCGAAGGCAAUCCCCUGGACCUGUACUGACGCUCAUGCACGAAAGCGUGGGGAGCAAACAGG